rnacentral:lncRNA from 1 species
CUUUGGGUCGCCAAUAGAAAAUGACAGAAAUGGUCAUCUAGAGGACCCAGGACUCUCCCACCCAGCCAGGAUAAUUGGGUUCCUUAGUAAAGCCCAAGGCUAGACCACUCCCUAACCUGAUAUGCAUCCCUGAGGCAUUAUCCUGAGCAGCCACUAGAUGUCCAUAAUGCCUCAUAGGGUGUUCCAGGAGUGAGCUGGGUAUCGUUUUGCCACCAAAUAGGCUUUGCGGACUCUUUUAAGGGUAGGUCCAUCAGUGGCAGGAACAGAACAGGAGCAAAGACAUAAAAGGAAUUUGGGAAACUAGAAAGAAAAAAGUAGUAUGGAAAUUGCCCUCCACAAAGGGAAGGAAAGAUAUCAAUUGGUGAAUCAGUAAUAAUAAAAAGUAGGAAUGGUCUACAUGGAAAUAGUCACUGCCUUCUUUCCAAGGUAAUGAACACAUUUGUGUGUGUGUGUGUGUGUGUGUGUGUGUGUGUGUGUGUGUGUGUGUGUCUUAGUUCCACCCACGUGUGCAAACACCUAUCAGGGACAACUAGCCAUGAAUUUUCUGUUUAAUAAGUAAAAUCAGAAUUGCAAAGGGAAGGUUAUUUUUCUUGCCUGUGAUCCCAUAGUGAGGCUGGCUGUGCCAUUACUACCCACAGUCAUAAAGGGAAUGGAUUUUAUUCCUGGAGCCUGAUGAUUCAAGGCAAGACAGCUGUUCUAGAGUUACCCACUCUUCUGAGUGUGCUUUGAAUCCACUGUUCUUUUCCCCCAAGGACUCAGCUCUUUAAGGAAGUCAGAAGGGAGUGGACAAUAAAGGAUAAAAAAGCAUUCUCCCUCCAGGUCGCAUCAAGAGCAAUUUUUAAAAACCUUGGCUAAGAAAAGACACAGUGCUUAGUACAAACGGUAAAGGGAUAGAAUGGAGAGGCCUUUCCCUCUCCUCUAAGACUAAGUUUCUAGGGCUUACAGUUUCUUUGUGGGCUGUCAGGCUCGAGUGAUGGGGAAAACCUCCCAGCUAGCACUCUGCCUCCUCUUUUGGAAUAGUUUGCAUGUGGUCUAGCCACAGUCACUUACAUGUUCAAAUUGAAAAGAGAGGUUCAGCCAGGAGCCCUGAAAAUGCACUUCUGUAGGUACACUGGCCCAUUCCAGGCCCUUGUGGCUUUUCCUCUUUAAUUGCCUGUGUAUAGCAGUAAUAAUGGUUUUAAUAGCAACAUUUACUGCAGCGUUGAUAGGUACUUGGUACUGUGUUAAGUUACACAUAUUUACUCCUCACAACAGCUCUGUGAGAUGGGUACCAUCGGAUUUCCCCAUUUUGCAGAUGAAUUUAAGAAGUGUUCUCAGGAUCACAGAACUGACUACUAAUGAGUGAUUAAAUUUGUUUCUUGAGGCUGCCAUAACAAAUCACCACAUAGUUGGUGAUUUAAAGCAGAAAUAUAUUCUCUCACAGUUCUGGAGGCUAAAAGUUCAAAAUCUGGCAGGGUGCACUCCCUCCAGAGGCCCUAGGGGAGAAUCAUUCCUUGCCUCUUGCCCCUGCCAGCUUCUGGUGGCUGUCAGCCUUCCUUGAUUUAUAGCUGUAUCACUUCAGUCUCUGCCUCCAUGGCCACAUUGCCUUCUCCUUUUCUGUCUGCCUCUCUCCUCUUUGUGACUUAUAAGGACACCUGUCAUUGGAUUUAGGGCCUACCUGGAUAAUCCAGGAUGAUCUCCUUAUCUCAAGAUCCUUAAUUUAAAUGGGUCUUUGCAGACAUCAUUUCAAAUUCCCGUCACAGGGUUCUGGGAAUGAGGAUGUACCCCUAUUUUUCUAGGGGCUCAUUCAGCCCAUUGCAGUGAUAGAGCCAGGUUUCAGUGUCAGUACAGGGCCCAAACUCAACCACUGUGAUGCUGUGAUGUGCUAUUUAACAUGAAGGGGAAAGGGACAAUGCAUCUGACAACCAGCAGGUGACUCUUCCCUAUACCUGUGCCUGUGAAGGGUAGGGGAGCCAAGCAGGAGCUGUGUGGCUGUUGGGUCUUCCCACUGGGAAGGGAGAGAGUCUCUCAAUCAGGAAGCAUCACAUGAGCCAAGAGAAGGGGGCAGGCUGACAAGACACACUCAGGAAAAAUCUGUCUCUUAUUUUCUGUUUCUGAUUCCAUUCUUAAUGAUUUUCUCACUUUCUCUUUACAUUGUCUCUAGAUUUUAUCCCAAAGAUAUUGGAACACUUAAGCGUUUACCAGUAGUAACACCAAAAGUACCUCCUGGCAUUGCCACCAAAUUUGGCUCCACUGUAUCUAAGUCUUAGAGAUUUUGAGCUUCAUGUUCGUUGGAGAUUAAGGGAUACCUCCAGAUCAGGGCCAGCAGGUGCAGAUGUGGAACUGAGAGCUAUGAAUAGAGUGGCUUUUCAGGUAUCUGAAACAUAAAUGUGAUCAUUAAUCCAUGCCUAUGCUUACAAUUAGCCUCUUCACAGACACACAGUGUAUGCUUAAAAUUAUUCAGAUUUUGGUUGGAGAAAACCCAAAACAAUAUUUUUUCCCAAAUGGACUAAUACAAAAUUUGCCACAUAAGAGCACAUGCAUGUCUGUGUGUGUGGAUGCUAGUGGGCAUUAUGGUGUACUGGUGGAUGCAAAGCAUCUCUGGAGUCAGACAGACCUGAGUUUAAACCCCAGUUCUGCCUCUUACAUACCGCGUAUAUAUAGGUUAGUUGUUUAAGCCCCAGAUUCUUCACGUGUAAAUAUUGUUGAACUAGAAGCAAGUAAAGGAAAUCACAAUCUCAGCAAAUAGUAAUGGUCGUAGCGUCUAUUAUUUUCUAAUAUGGAAACCGGUAUAGAAGAGGCUGUCUUGUUCAAAGUCAGUUAUUGAGGGGAUUCUUUUCUUCUAGAUACCUGCUCUUGUUAUUGCACCUAAUUUAUAACUUUCAAUUCUUCAUUUAAGGUAUGAGAUGUUUUUCAUUGUUUGUUUUUAACAGUUACUGGGUUGGGGUUUUUUUUUUUUUUUUUUUUUUUGAGGUAAUUUUAGACUUAUAGACAGGUCAAAAAUAGUACUGAGUUCCCAUAUGUGCUUCACCCAGCUUUCUCUUAUGUGAGUUAAUAUCUUACAUAACCACAGAACAUUUAUUCAAAACUAAGAAAUUAAUCUAUUCAAGACAUAGAUUUUUACACUUGCCCUCUACAGUCUCUUCUCCAUAGCAACCAAAGUGAUCUUUGUGACAGUAGAUCAGAUUAUGUUAUUGAUUUGCUUAAAAUGCCCCAGUGUCUUCCUCUCAUAGUUUGAAUAACAACCAUACUGCUUCCCAUGGCCCACAGGCCCUAAGCCUACAUCCCUGCCUGCACCUCUGCCCUCAGGUUUUAUCGUCUUCCUCCUCAUUCCCUGCCCUUCAGCUACACUGAAUUUCUUUUCCUGGAAUACUCUUACAUGGUUCUCCCCAUUAAGGCCUUUACUCUCCCCACAACCUAAAAUGUUCCCCCAUAUCUUCAGGUGGCUGUCCUGUCCAGAGUAGCCCCACUCAUCACAGUCAUAUCACCCAGCUUUAUUUUUCUCAUUUUAUUUUCCAUUAUCUGAAAUUGUCUUGUUUAUGGGCUGUCUAUUGUGCAUCCCCACAAGAGCAGAGGCCUCUGCAUCUUGUUUCCAAUACUUAGACCUAGCAGUGAGUUUAUUAUUUCAGAGGGAUGAGGACUGUUUUUGAUAUCCCACGUGGUAAGAGCUCAGGCCUUCCUAAUUUUAUCGAUAGCCCUAGCCCUACCCUGCUCUACUUACAUUCUUUGAAGAAGCAGGUGAGAAAUUACUAGCCUGAUUUUUUUUUUUUUUAAUACUGGAAAAAUGAAGGAGAAUCCUAGUGACCUUAAGGUGUCUCCAGUUCUCAAUUUUUAGAAUUCCUAGCCCCUUGCUGACAGAUUUAUGAAGGAGAGUUUUAUGGAGGUAUCAUAAAGGCUCACGGGUUCUUGGCAGUUGUGAAUAUGUGAGGAGUGAGCAUAGGUGCACAAAUACACAUUAUCUGUGCUCAUGUACACAUAAGCCUGUCAUUUUCAAAUUGGCUAAAGUGCAUUUUCUCCAAAGGGAGUGGGGCUGUUGAGCCUGAAAUAGGGAGCAGCAGUAAAGGGCGCCCCAUUACCUCGCUUUAUGGAGAGCUGGGUAAAUUUAAAGGCAGCUAUAAAUAUCCCACUGAGUGCCGGAGCUAUAGCACAGUCGGCGAACGAACCCUUAAUUUAAAAACACUCGGGGAGACAGCAAACAGCUGUGUAUUGAGUCUGCCUGGGAGCCCAGGCUACCUGGGUCCUUCUCCAGCUUUGUCAGUGACUUUCUUUUCCUUUUGCCUGGAUGGAAGAUAUUUCUUCAUGUUGUGAUUUUGUUUCCUUGAAACACGGGGUGUGUCACAGAAAUUUAAAAAAAAAAAAAAAUCCAGGUGCAGUGCUUAUGCUUGUAAUCCCAGCAUUUUGGGAGUCCAAGGUGGGGGAAUCGCUUGAGCCUGGGAGGAGGAGGUUGCAGUGACCUGAGAUUGCACCACUCACUCCAACUCUGGUCAUCAAACAGAGCAAGGUCCUAUCUUUAAAAAAAAAAAAAAAAAAAAAAAAGACAUGGUUUAACACCUAAAAAAAAAAAAAGUGACAUGGUAAGACCUUUCUCCUGGGAAUAUUCUAGAGCCCCUUAACUGAGCAACUCUGUGCUCCAGAGAAAAUUUUAGCAUCUGUAAAGUGGCAACAAAAUGGGAACAUACUUUUUAUACUUAUCCUACAGAAUUUCUGACUAAAUUAAAGAUUUUUACUCAGUUUGGAACUUUCUCCAUGUUUUUAAUCUAUUCAAUUUGGCUUGAAACCUAUUAUGUCCUUUUCUGGGGUUUCUUCUUGUAUCUCUUCCAUGGCCUCCAAGCCGUUCUAAUCCCUUGGUUUGUAGAGUGGUGCCACAUUGGCGCUGCCUCCUCUCUACCAGCUUUCUUGAUCUGUUGUUCGUUUUCUUUAAACAUCAGCAUCUGUGGCCAUCAAGCUGCCUUGCACAGUUUGCUAAUUGUUUUCAAUUGUAUGCCUCCAGCUUGAGCUAUGGUUAGGAUUUUCCUGUUCUAGUAGUCCACUCAGUACUGGCCUAGUAACGUGAGUUCCUUGGCAAGUUCAUUUGUCUCAUCUACGGAGUUCCAGGGAGAGAAUUAAGGGACCCAUAAUGGAAAUGUGGGCUUGAACUUUGUCUCUCUGUAGCUGGUACUCUUCAUCCCACCCCUUCCCAUCUUUGAGCAAAAGGACAAGCACUUUACCUUAAGAGUGGAGGGGGCCCCGGUGCAGGGGCUUCUGUCUAUAAUCCUAGCACUACAGGAGGUCGAGGAUGCAGGAUCGCUUAAGCCCAGGAGUUUGAGAUUAGCCUGGGCAAUAUAAUGAGACCCCCCAUCUCUAAAAUAAUAAUAAUAACAAUUUAAAAAAUAAGAGGUGGAGGGCAGCGCAGCAUUGGGAACACCAGGAAACCAGCCCAGCGCCCACACCACUGGCUUCCCCAUGAGUCAUCAAACAACCA